CUCGGAGGGUGGGUCCCCAGCCUGAAUUGUGAGAGGGCACAGGCCAGGCUGAGGGACCCCACCAGUGCACG
rnacentral:pre_miRNA from 1 species